rnacentral:rRNA from 1 species
UACGAAGGGGCUAGCGUUGCUCGGAAUCACUGGGCGUAAAGGGCGCGUAGGCGGCGUUUUAAGUCGGGGGUGAAAGCCCGAGGCUCAACCUCGGAACUGCCUUCGAUACUGCGGGUCUCGAGUCCGGGAGAGGUGAGUGGAAUUCCUAGUGUAGAGGUGAAAUUCGUAGAUAUUAGGAAGAACACCAGUGGCGAAGGCGGCUCACUGGCCCGGUACUGGCGCUGAGGCGCGAAAGCGUGGGGAGCAAACAGG